rnacentral:rRNA from 1 species
GUAGGGAAUAUUGGACAAUGGGGGCAACCCUGAUCCAGCGACGCCGCGUGAGUGAUGAAGGCCUUCGGGUCGUAAAGCUCUGUUGCAGGGGAAGAACACAAUGACGGUACCCUGCUAGAAAGGAUCGGCUAACUUCGUGCCAGCAGCCGCGGUAAGACGAGGGAUCCUAGCGUUGUUCGGAAUUAUUGGGCGUAAAGCGGGUGCAGGUGGCUUGGUAAGUCAGAUGUGAAAGCCUGGGGCUUAACCCCAGAAGUGCAUUUGAUACUGCUGAGCUUGAGUGCUGGAGAGGCUAGUAGAAUUCCUGGUGUAGUGGUGAAAUACGUAGAUAUCAGGAGGAAUACCGGAGGCGAAGGCGGAUAGCUGGCCAGACACUGACACUCAGACCCGAAAGCGUGGGGAUCAAACAGGAUUAGAAACCCCUGUAGUCC